CCUACGGGGGGCAGCAGUGAGGAAUAUUGGUCAAUGGGCGAGAGCCUGAACCAGCCAAGUCGCGUGAAGGAUGAAGCAUCUAUGGUUUGUAAACUUCUUUUAUAUGGGAAUAUAGUGAGGAACGUGUUCCUUUUUGUAUGUACCAUAUGAAUAAGCAUCGGCUAACUCCGUGCCAGCAGCCGCGGUAAUACGGAGGAUGCGAGCGUUAUCCGGAUUUAUUGGGUUUAAAGGGUGAGUAGGUGGUUAAUUAAGUCAGCGGGGAAAGUUUGUGGCUCAAGCAUAAUAUUGCCGUUGAAACUGGCUGUCGUGAGAGGUCGAGAGGUAUGAGGAAUGCGCAGUGUAGCGGUGAAAUGCUUAGAUAUUGCGCAGAACUCCGAUUGCGAAGGCAGCAUACCGGCGGCGAUCUGACGCUGAUGCACGAAAGCGUGGGUAUCGAACAGGAUUAGAUACCCUGGUAGUC
rnacentral:rRNA from 1 species